rnacentral:lncRNA from 1 species
ACGAUUUCAAAUUUUGAAAACUCGUCGAGGACAACUAUGAUUGUAAUGAAUAGGAAAUAUGAUUUUGGAUUUUUUUUUUUUAAUGUAUUAUGAAUUUGAAUUUUUUAUCAUUUAUAUUUUAUGAGAGGCCCCCACACACAUGAAAUCCUAACUUCGUCACUAAUUCGUCCUCACCAAAAAUUUCAAGGAUAACAAAAAGGAGUGGGACGAGGAGGAAAUGGGAAGAGAGGAGGGAAGAAAAGGGAGGUGCAGCGAGGGAAGGGUAGAGAAAGGGGAGAAAGGAGGAAAAGGUAGGGAAAAAGAGGGAUGGGGGAGGAGAACACCACUCACUGAAGCUAAAGUUCCUGAGGGAUUUUUGAUUUAGAGAGAGCACAUUUUAUGUUGGUUAAAUUGUAGCAAUAGUCCCUGGACUAAGACUAAACUUUACUUUUCAUCCCUCCUAUUGCUAAAUUGUUACGAUGGUACUUUAAUUAUGCCUCUAAUUUCAGAAAUCGUCCUUUUCGUCAGCUUAGUCAACUUUUCCGUUAAAAAUGAUGACAUGGCAUGGGCAAAAAUGUCUUUUCACACAAAAAUUUAAAAAAUAAAUCUCAUCUCAU